AUGGCCAAGGCCAUGGCCGUGGUGUGUGUGAGUGUGGUGUGUGCUGUGUGUGUAUGCAAUGUGGUGCGUAAAAAACGGUGGCCUCUGGUUAAUCGGGCCUGUUUACACUCGAAGCCGAUUCAACCCCUCGAAGCCCGCAAGCACACCCAUCUUGUUUCGUCUCUCUUUCCCCGACCUCCCCUCGCCGCCGCCGCCACUGUCGACGCCAACCUCCAGCGACGACGUUCCUCUCUCACUCAAUCGACAAAAGGCACCCCCGCCGGCAGGUACACGUCUGACACGCACGAGGGGCCGGCCGACGGUAAGAACAAGAAGGCGACGGUGGACGAGUCGCCGCCGCCGACGCACGUCCCAAACCAGUGGGUCGCCUUCUGCACCGACCACUCCUGGUCGCAGCGCGUGCACGACGUUCUCCUACAUCUCAGCGACGCGGGCAUCGCGGCCUUGCUGAGGGAGUUGAAUUGGUGCGCUCCCCUCAUCUAUCUUUUUCCUCUUCCCCCGUUCUCUUCUCUUCCUCAUUGCUCCUCCUCCUCCAAUCUCUCCCAUCAGGAAGGUUGGAGGCGGCGCACACGGCUAGGGACUCCUAAUCAUCCCUCCCCUGUUCUUCUUGGCUUCAGGGACUACCAUUGGGCAGCCUCUUCUUCUCCAUGGUGCUCCAGCAACUGCACAAAGAGCCGCCAAGUGUUCUUCGUGCUAUGCUACUGCAUGAAUCGCCUCCUGGCCAGGUGGUUUUAUCUGCCCAAACAGGGCGCUCAAAUUGUGAAUUGA
rnacentral:rRNA from 1 species